UACAGAGGGGGCAAGCGUUGUUCGGAAUUACUGGGCGUAAAGGGCGCGUAGGCGGCCUUCUAAGUCGAACGUGAAAUCCCCGGGCUCAACCCGGGAACUGCGUCCGAUACUGGAAGGCUUGAAUCCGGGAGAGGGAUGCGGAAUUCCAGGUGUAGCGGUGAAAUGCGUAGAGAUCCGGAGGAACCCCAGAGGCGAAGGCGGCGCCCUGGCGCGCAACUGACGCUCAGACACGACAGCAUGGGGAGCGAACGGG
rnacentral:rRNA from 1 species